rnacentral:rRNA from 1 species
GAUGAACGCUAGCUACAGGCUUAACACAUGCAAGUCGAGGGACCGGCACACGGGUGAGUAAAACGUAUCCAACCUGCCCUUUACUCGGGGAUAGCCUUUCGCAAGAAAGAUUAAUACCCGAUAUAAAGGAUGGGGAUGCGUUCGAUUAGUUUGUUGGGGAGGGAACGGCUCACCAAGCCUUCGAUGGCGAGGGGUUCUGAGAGGAAGGUCCACUACAUUGGAACUGAGAGCCGGACCAAACUGCUACGGUGGGGAGCAGUACGGAAUACUGGGCACUGAGCGCUAGCCUGAACCAGCCAAGUAGCGUGAAGGAUGAAGGGUUAUGGGUCGUAAAUUUCUUUUAAAUAAGAAGCUGUAUUAUAUGAAUAAGGAUCGGCUAACUCCGUGCCAGCAGCCGCGGUAAUAC